UACGGAGGGUGCAAGCGUUGUCCGGAAUCGUGGGGUGUCAAGGGUGCGUAGGCGGAAGCCUAAGUCGGGGGUGAAAUCUUGCCGCUUAACGGUAAAAUUGCCCUCGAUACUGGGUUUCUUGAGUUCGGAAGAGGUUGGUGGAAUUCGUGGUGUAGCGGUGAAAUGCAUAGAGAUCACGAAGAACACCAGUGGCGAAGGCGGCCAACUGGUCCGAUACUGACGCUGAGGCACGAGGGCGUGGGGAGCGAACAGG
rnacentral:misc_RNA from 1 species